GAUGAACGCUGGCGGCGUGCCUAAUACAUGCAAGUCGAGCGAACAGACGAGGAGCUUGCUCCUCUGACGUUAGCGGCGGACGGGUGAGUAACACGUGGAUAACCUACCUAUAAGACAGGGAUAACUUCGGGAAACCGGAGCUAAUACCGGAUAAUAUAUUGAACCGCAUGGUUCAAUAGUGAAAGACGGUUUUGCUGUCACUUAUAGAUGGAUCCGCGCCGCAUUAGCUAGUUGGUAAGGUAACGGCUUACCAAGGCAACGAUGCGUAGCCGACCUGAGAGGGUGGUCGGCCACACUGGAGCGGAGACACGGUCCAGACUCCUGCGGGAGGCAGCAGUAGGGAAUCUUCCGCAAUGGGCGAAAGCCUGACGGAGCAGCGGCGCGUGAGUGGUGAAGGUCUUCGGAUCGUAAUACUCUGUUAUUAGGGAAGAACAAAUGUGUAAGUAACUAUGCACGUCUUGACGGUACCUAAUCAGAAAGCCACGGCUAACUACGUG
rnacentral:rRNA from 1 species